UUUUAAAAUGAGUUUCAAAUGUAAUUUUGAAUAUUUUUUUAAAAAACUAUAAAGUCUUUUGAAUUAAAAGUGAAAAAACACUCAUACAUGAUAUGUUUAUUUUAAUUGGACCAAGAUAAAUAUUAAAAAAUAAUAAUUUUGAAGUCCAUUUCAGUGUAUAAUAAUAUCAUCCUUGUUCAACCUUGUUCAAAUUCGUUUUUGAUUCUAAACAAAAUGUUUUAGAUUUUAAGUCAAGUAUUUAUUACAAGAAAAAAAGAGUUAAAAGACAUUAUCUGCAACACUAGAAGAUUCUUGAGGGAAUUUCUGUUGCAGUUGCAGUGCAUCACAUGCCGUGCCGGCUCUUCGGUCCUUGGACUACACUAUAAGACGAUGAUCAUGGUCUGCACUGGAGGUUUCUUUCUGUUGCUCAUUGUGUAUAUGUUGGAAGGCUAUGAAGUUAGUUCACUCCUGCGAGAUUCAGAAAUGGGGUGAAGACAAUCCAUGACGUGCCCACAAACUCUGCUAGAAACAACCCUCAACCUAUGCUAAAGGCAAGAGAUUGCGAGACUUUGUUUAUUAUUUCUGCACAACUGAAUAAGAGGAGGUGCAUGCGAUGGCAAGCAGAAAAAUCUUUAAACUGAUAAAGCUGAAGCUGCUCUGGGCACUCGUGGCAACUCCCACAGUGAUAGCGUUGGAACGCAAGUGCUGCGUGGUUUUAUCUUUUUAACCUUUGCCCAUCACCUUCGAUGACCUCCAGUAAUACAUCGACAUGCCUGCUGUAAGUCUUCAUGCUUGAGUCUAGUUCCUUUCAAACCACACCUCACUUUGUGGUCAUGUUCACAAAGCCGAUGGAUGCAAUGAAAGUGCCGUGAAUCGCACAGUGGUGUGUACGAUCCAUCAACCUAGCAUCGGCACCAUUGAAAACAUUUGAUGAGGUACUCCAACCAUCGUCCUCAAAAGAUUUAGGGUUAGACACCAAAUCAGGAGUUCUAAACUGUGGAAACGUUUCGACGAAUUACUUUUGCCGUACCAUUUAAUGAACUAAUCUUGCGAAUCCUUGGAAUUGUUCUUUGAUGCCACGAGGUGGAUAAGUCAUUCUUAAGAGACCCUUGGAACCUCAAUUUCUCAACCUGAGGUAGUCAUCGAAACAAUGCCGAAGCUGGUUGUAAUGAGAGUGCUAAAUUUUGUCCAAAAACACAAAGGUUACGAACUUUCCUAGAUUUUAUGAAGAACUAUGUGAAACUCUUCCUCUUGUAAGCCGUUUUUGACAUAAAAUACUAAAAAAUUGUGUAUGGCUUUAAAAUGUAGUGGAAGGUCUACUUGCAACCUUUGCACAAUCUUGAAGACUUUCUCUGCAGUUUAUAAAACAAAUAUGGCACGCGCCAAUGAUUAAGGAUCCUUGCUUGUCCUUGCUGGUCUAUCUACGAGCAUUUUAUGAUAACAAGCAACAUCCUAAUUGCUCCUGGUAUGUUAAAAUAUCUUUAUAUUAGUCUUGAAAAACAUUUGUGUCUUAAAUUGCAUAAUUAUUGAGUCAACCAGCUACAACUAUCUGAUGCUAUUCAUACAAGAAGGUUAUUUAUGCAUAUUAGCAUUGCUGGGCUACAUAACUAACAAUAUGUACACUUAAAAAUAACAUGUAUUCUAGCUUGUCUGGUUACAAAAUUUAUAUACCACCUGAUUUGGAGACGUGCUUAUGCUUAUUUUAUGAGAUUUAAUGAAAAAAGAGCCUUCAAUGUGGAGUGAAAAAUAAACAAAAUGGUGUUUUAUAACAUGAAGACCUUGAAGAACAAUAAAUGUUUUACUUGAAAUGCAUAAAGGGGUUUUUACUUGUUACACAAAGAAUCAAUGACUUGCAUGUUUGCAUAACUUACUGGCAGAAUAGUGUAUAGCUAUUACAUAUUAUAUUUUGAAAAAAUGAUUUAGAAUGUAUGGGCAAUCAUUGUUGAGGGUAGAAAGAAAAUUUGCACCACUAAUAUUGUAGGUAUGUCAUUUUCACUUGGGCAGAUUUUUUUUGCUUUUAAGAUUAACAACAUUAUUUUUGUCAAAUAUUAAUUAUAUAAAUGAAAAUAAAUAAUGGUAUAAGAGUUC